rnacentral:rRNA from 1 species
UGAGACACGGAUCCGACUCCUUACGGGAGGCAGCAGUAAGGAAUAUUGGACAAUGCCCCGCAAGGGUGAUCCCAGCCAUGCCGCGUGCAGGAAGACGGCCCUAUGGGUUGUAAACUGCUUUUACACCGGAGAAAACCCCAGUACGUGUACUGGGCUGAUAGUAUGGUGAGAAUAAGCAUCGGCUAACUUCGUGCCAGCAGCCGCGGUAAGACGAAGGAUGCAAGCGUUAUCCGGAUUCAUUGGGUUUAAAGGGAGCGUAGGUGGCCAAAUAAGUCAGUGGUGAAAUCUCUGGGCUUAACCCAGAAAUUGCCAUUGAUACUGUAUGGCUUGAGUGUAGUUGCCGUUGGCGGAAUAUGACAUGUAGUGGUGAAAUACAUAGAGAUGUCAUAGAACACCGAUUGCGAAGGCAGCUGACGAAACUAUAACUGACACUGAGGCUCGAAAGUGCGGGGAUCAAACAGGAUUAGAUACCCUGGUAGUCCGCACUGUAAACGAUGAUUACUCGCUGCUGGAGGGCAACCUUCAGUGGCUUAGCAAAAGCGAUAAGUAAUCCACCUGGGGAGUACGCCGGCAACGGUGAAACUCAAAGGAAUUGACGGGGGCCCGCACAAGCGGAGGAGCAUGUGGUUUAAUUCGAUGAUACGCGAGGAACCUUACCAGGGCUUGAAAGUUAGUGACCGGAUCUGAAAGGAUCCUUCCCGCAAGGGCACAAAACUAGGUGCUGCAUGGCUGUCGUCAGCUC